UGACAACUAUGGGCUAAUGUCAUGUUGCAGAGGACAAGGAGGCUGAACAUUCAGAAUCAUUUAUGAAUCCAGCAAAGCGCCUGCUGUGGCACGAAAAACUCCUCUUCAUCCACCCACGAUGGUGUUGGUUAAAGAAGCGCUGAAGGAGUUGAACUCUCGAAUCGUCUCGUCGCAGGCCAUUCGUGGCGACAAAACAGGGAAAUAUCCAUCUGUGAACCUGAUGAGGUUGAAGUACAUGACACACAAGACCCUGAAAAUAGGAAUCGAGGGCGGGGUAUUGGUGAGGACAUCAACUCCAUAUCAAACGGCGCACAGGGGAGGUUUUGGCAGGCAGUCAGGGGUAGGGUCAAGGAGCCCAAGCCAAAGGCCACUGAGAACACUGAUCCCAAUGUGGAGAAGUCUCCAAAGACUGCCAAGGUUGGAGCCAAGAAGACUAAGGACAAGGAAGCCGGUAAACUGAAUCCACUGAAUUGAUUGUGCUCAUCACUCCUAGGAUUUAGACAUCACCCUAUAAUCUGCCCAAUUGUAUGGGAUCAUUGUUAUUGAGCUACACCCAUUGCAAUGGAUGACAUUUAACAUUGCUCAUUCAAUGACUUGUAUGGGUAUCUCUCUUCUCCUCAUUGGGUCUAUGAUUGCAUGUGUAACAGUAUAACUUUAGACCGUCCCCUCGCCCAUACCCGGGCGUGAACCAGGAACCCUCUGCACACAUCAUCAAAAGUCACCCACGAAGCAUCAUUACCCAUCGCUCCACAAAAGCCACGGCCCUUGCAGAGCAAGGGGAACUACUACUUAAAGGUCUCAGAGCAAGUGACGUCACCGAUUGAAACACUAUUUAGCGCGCACCACCGCUAACUAAGCUAGCGUUUCACAUCCGUUACACAUGCAUACACACACAUCACUAACUCUUGUCUCUAGAAGCUGAGAAGAAAAAGGUUACAGCCAAAAGCAGAAGGAGAAACCUU